rnacentral:rRNA from 1 species
AUACGUAUGUCGCAAGCGUUAUCCGGAUUUAUUGGGCGUAAAGCGCGUCUAGGCGGCUUAGUAAGUCUGAUGUGAAAAUGCGGGGCUCAACCCCGUAUUGCGUUGGAAACUGCUAAACUAGAGUACUGGAGAGGUAGGCGGAACUACAAGUGUAGAGGUGAAAUUCGUAGAUAUUUGUAGGAAUGCCGAUGGGGAAGCCAGCCUACUGGACAGAUACUGACGCUAAAGCGCUAAAGCGUGGGUAGCAAACAGGAUUAGAUACCCUGGUAGUCCACGCCGUAAACGAUGAUUACUAGGUGUUGGGGGUCGAACCUCAGCGCCCAAGCUAACGCGAUAAGUAAUCCGCCUGGGGAGUACGUACGCAAGUAUGAAACUCAAAUGAAUUGACGGGG